GUUUUGAAACAGCUGAAGGCACACUGGAUGUGAAACUCAGUAUUUUUUUAACCUAACUCAGUGUUUCAUGAC